rnacentral:rRNA from 1 species
UUCCGUUGAUCCUGCCGGAGGUACUGCUAUCGGUGUUCGCUAAGCCAUGCGAGUCAUAUGUAGCAAUACAUGGCGUACUGCUCAGUAACACGUGGAUAACCUGCCUUGGGACCGGCAUAACCCCGGGAAACUGGGGAUAAUUCCGGAUAACGCAUAUGUGCUGGAAUGCUUUAUGCGUAAAAUGGAUUCGUCUGCCCAAGGAUGGGUCUGCGGCCUAUCAGGUAGUAGUGGGUGUAAUGUACUACUAGCCAGCGACGGGUACGGGUUGUGAGAGCAAGAGCCCGGAGAUGGAUUCUGAGACAUGAAUCCAGGCCUACGGGGCGCAGCAGGCGCGAAAACUUUACAAUGCGGGAAACCGUGAUAAGGGGACACCGAGUGCCAGCGUCAUAUGCUGGCUGUCCAGGUGUGUAAAAUACACCUGUUAGCAAGGGCCGGGCAAGACCGGUGCCAGCCGCCGCGGUAACACCGGCGGCCCGAGUGGUGAUCGUGAUUAUUGGGUCUAAAGGGUCCGUAGCCGGUUUGGUCAGUCCUCCGGGAAAUCUGGUAGCUUAACUAUUAGGCUUUCGGGGGAUACUGCCAGACUUGGAACCGGGAGAGGUAAGAGGUAC